rnacentral:rRNA from 1 species
AUUGAACGCUGGCGGCAGGCCUAACACAUGCAAGUCGAGCGGAGCGGCGGACGGGUGAGUAAUGCCUAGGAAUCUGCCUGGUAGUGGGGGAUAACAGUUGGAAACGACUGCUAAUACCGCAUACGAUUGGAUAUGCCCAGGUGGGAUUAGCUAGUUGGUGAGGUAAUGGCUCACCAAGGCGACGAUCCCUAGCUGGUCUGAGAGGAUGAUCAGCCACACUGGAACUGAGACACGGUCCAGACUCCUACGGGAGGCAGCAGUGGGGAAUAUUGCACAAUGGGGGAAACCCUGAUGCAGCCAUGCCGCGUGUGUGAAGAAGGUCUUCGGAUUGUAAAGCACUUUAAGUUGGGAGGCGUUACCAACAGAAUAAGCACCGGCUAACUUCGUGCCAGCAGCCGCGGUAAUAC